CUCUCUUCCUUUCUUCUGUCCCUCCAGCCUUCUGUCCUGGGAGUCUGGCACUGCAUUAAGAUGCUUGGCAUUCUGAUUCAAGGUUUAAUUUCUGAUAUCUUCCAAAUGGCUCACUGCUGGCACUAAUGGAAAAUCUCAUAUUGUAUGGAGGAUCUGUAAGGCUUCACUACAGAACAUCAACAUACUAUUUCUGAUCACCUGACAGCAUUCUGGUUACAUUCACAAUAAUUGCCGUAUGUAAGACAUCAUUCUCUCUCCACCUGUGGUUAAAACUGCACCCUCUUCUCAUUCAGAUCAUCUUGAGACCAACAACUCAGAUUUGCUGUUCGGAGUUAAGAGUUUGCCAUGGUAUAGAGUGAAGAUAAUUUGAUCGCCACAGGAAUUCAGCUUCUGAUUGGGGCCUUGCUGUGUUCUAAUCAACGAAACUAAUGAACUAUAUACACUAGCCCACUCUAUGAGACGGAUUGAAACUCUAAGAAGGUACCAAGUAACCGCUCCCCAACUGUAAGGAAAACUGUGUAUGAGUGGAAUUAGAAAGAGGAAAAAGACCAAGUGAAGUUUAAUCACUCAUCAUGAGUUGGUAUUAGAACCAUUGAGAAAAUUAUCGAGAAAAUGACUUUCCUUCAAAAAGGUAAACCCUGUCAACAGCAGGAGGUAAAAACCCCAGUCAACAGCACUGAGUGAAAGAAAAGUCUCCACAUCUGGAAAGAACAGCAAUGAAGAACAGGAACUGGUGCAUUCAUGCUCGGCUCCUACCGGGCAUGUUUCAUUUAAUUUCCUCCAUUUUUAUGACACUUUCCUAUGCUGCUACUCCAGACGUUCAAUGAAACACCUCACUGCCGAGAAACUGUAGGGGAAGGAAAAUCAAAGAAAGUCUGACUGAAGGUCUGAGUGUGAGAUCACCACAACCAUCAGCAGAGGCAACAGGAGCGUAUGUUCAGGCUUCUCAGAACCACUUCUCUGGGGUCUCAUCUUGGUCUCUGUUUAUAAACUGCUGCCUUUUGCACCUCUGAUCCAUCGCCAGGCAGACUGGUGCACUGUCCUACCUGUGCUUGUCUUCUGUAGCCUGUCUUCCUCCGUAAUGUCAGAGAGAACACAAAGGGCCCUAUCACUGGUUCAGUUUUCCAUACUUCACCCAUAAAGUCUGCAAUCAAUCAGUUUUUCCCCUGAGCAGCUAUUGUGAAUAAUGCUGCAAUGAAUAUGGGAGCACAGAUAUCUUUAUGAGGUUUCCGCAGCUGGCAGGUUGAACUAACAAUUGGUGAAGAGAUAGGAUUUGGGUCAGAUGCCCAGCCAGGGACGAAUAGUUGUAUUUGUUGAGGGCAUACCCUUUAUCCUAUCCUUUGGAAACAUAACAGUCAUCACAGGCCUUUAUUAAAACAGAAUUGCCUGCAGCUCCAUAGUGACAUAAGAAAGUAGUCUAUAUGGCAAAAAUAAACUGAAGUAACAGAUUUUCCCACUAUAUUUGCAAAAAAUCCUGAAGUCUCUAGCCUUAAUUUACCAUUUUCUAGGGAGUAUUUUGCCAGCUGAAAUGAGUUAAAAUAAGUGCUGCAUGAAAGAUGUGUGACCUCUUUCAUUUCACCCCUGUAUCCAGUGCUUAGAACAUGGCCAGGUACAGCUACUGGGAAAGCACAGUCUCACAGACAGCUUGAUGUUUGGACUUGGGGCUACAGAGAAGAGGUAGGGCUGGACAAGCAUUGUGGAUGAGAAGCCAACGCCAAAGGGGGGAGAAAAGAAAGAGCAACUGUAUUUUGAUCAUGCACCCUGAAUGAAGUUAAGACACAAACACUUGUAAAUCCUGAUGGAGAUACAAAAGGACUUUGUGGCAUCUUGCUGCUGACUCUUGAAUAUGGUACAGGUUCUCAAUGUUGUAGUCACCUGGACAUUCAAGAUCACUUGAUACACAAGGUUAAGGACAACUUUUAUUGCUACCAGAGGCUUUUAUCAUCAGUACAUGGUUCUGACUGCAGUACCUUCUUCAGGCUCCACAGGGAGCUCAGGACCCAGAAGUCAUGAAGAGAAAUACAGGUAGGCUGGGGAGGCAAGGGGAUUAACUUUUAUCAAGAAAAUCCUAAUAGCUUAACAUAAAACUAGGGUACUGAAUUCAGUUAUUACAUGUUACAGACCCAAAUCAUAGAGCUGCCCCAACAUCUAGACAGUCUCUCCUACUGAUUAUAAACGAGUGAACUGAACAGUUUUUUUAAAAUCUAAUUUUAGUUGUUACAUGUUUCUUUGGUGAGCACCUGGAUAUAUUAACUUUAUCACAAAUUCUAUUUUACAAAUGUCAAAAAUGCUUCCAACAAAUCUUAAGAGUGUCCUAAUCACAUGCCACUUUUAAGCUUCAAUUUAAGAUAAAAAUGAAAAUAUUAAUUUUGUUUCCAAACUCUA